GCCCGCCUAGCUCAGUGGUAGAGCGCAAUAUUUGGGAUUGUGGUCGUGGGUUCGAUUCCCACGGUGGGCA